rnacentral:rRNA from 1 species
AGUGAACGCUGGCGGUAGGCCUAACACAUGCAAGUCGAACGGCAGCACAGAGGAGCUUGCUCCUUGGGUGGCGAGUGGCGGACGGGUGAGGAAUACAUCGGAAUCUACUCUGUCGUGGGGGAUAACGUAGGGAAACUUACGCUAAUACCGCAUACGACCUACGGGUGAAAGCAGGGGACCUUCGGGCCUUGCGCGAUUGAAUGAGCCGAUGUCGGAUUAGCUAGUUGGCGGGGGAAAGGCCCACCAAGGCGACGAUCCGUAGCUGGUCUGAGAGGAUGAUCAGCCACACUGGAACGUAGACACGGUCAAGACUCCUACGGGAGGCAGCAGUGGGGAAUAUUGGACAAUGGGCGCAAGCCUGAUCCAGCCAUACCGCGUGGGUGAAGAAGGCCUUCGGGUUGUAAAGCCCUUUUGUUGGGAAGGAAAUCCAGCUGGCUAAUACCCGGUUGGGAUGACGGUACCCAAAGAAUAAGCACCGGCUAACUUCGUGCCAGCCGCCGCAGUAA